rnacentral:rRNA from 1 species
UACGUAGGUGGCAAGCGUUAUCCGGAAUUAUUGGGCGUAAAGCGCGCGCAGGCGGUUUCUUAAGUCUGAUGUGAAAGCCCACGGCUCAACCGUGGAGGGUCAUUGGAAACUGGGGAACUUGAGUGCAGAAGAGAAAAGCGGAAUUCCACGUGUAGCGGUGAAAUGCGUAGAGAUGUGGAGGAACACCAGUGGCGAAGGCGGCUUUGUGGUCUGUAACUGACGCUGAGGCGCGAAAGCGGGGGGAGCAAACAGG